rnacentral:tRNA from 1 species
GGAGAUGUAGCUAAGUGGUAGAGUGCUUGCCUAGCAUGCGUGAGGCCCUGAGUUCAAUCCCCAGCACCA